GAUGAACGCUGGCGGCGUGCCUAAUACAUGCAAGUCGAGCGAACGGACGAGAAGCUUGCUUCUCUGAUGUUAGCGGCGGACGGGUGAGUAACACGUGGAUAACCUACCUAUAAGACUGGGAUAACUUCGGGAAACCGGAGCUAAUACCGGAUAAUAUUUUGAACCGCAUGGUUCAAAAGUGAAAGACGGUCUUGCUGUCACUUAUAGAUGGAUCCGCGCUGCAUUAGCUAGUUGGUAAGGUAACGGCUCACCAAGGCAACGAUGCAUAGCCGACCUGAGAGGGUGAUCGGCCACACUGGAACUGAGACACGGUCCAGACUCCUACGGGAGGCAGCAGUAGGGAAUCUUCCGCAAAGGGCGAAAGCCUGACGGAGCAACGCCGCGUGAGUGAUGAAGGUCUUCGGAUCGUAAAACUCUGUUAUUAGGGAAGAACAUAUGUGUAAGUAACUGUGCACAUCUUGACGGUACCUAAUCAGAAAGCCACGGCUAACUACGUG
rnacentral:rRNA from 1 species